AGUGCGAUGGCUGAGUGGUUAAGCGCUUGGCUUCCAAACCUGGGGUCCUGGGUUCGAAUCUCGGUUGGAUUU
rnacentral:tRNA from 1 species